AGAGUUUGAUUAUGGCUCAGGACAACGGCUGGCGGCGUGCCUAACACAUGCAAGUCGAGCGGGGACAUGCGACGGAAUUGAAGUUUCGGAUGGAAAUGAAGAUGUAUGUUCUAGCGGCGGACGGGUGAGUAACGCGUGAGCAACCUGUCCUUCACAGGGGGAUAACACAGCGAAAGUUGUACCAAUACCGCAUGAGACCACAACGGGACAUCCCGCAGGGGGUCAAAGGAGCAAUCCGGUGAAGGGUGGGCUCGCGUCCGAUUAGAUAGUUGGUGAGGUAACGGCCCACCAAGUCGACGAUCGGUAGCCGACCUGAGAGGGUGAUCGGCCACAUUGGGACUGAGACACGGCCCAAACUCCUACGGGAGGCAGCAGUGGGGAAUAUUGGGCAAUGGGGGAAACCCUGACCCAGCAACGCCGCGUGAGGGAAGAAGGUUUUCGGAUCGUAAACCUCUGUCCUAGGUGAAGAGAAAGAGACGGUAGCCUAGGAGGAAGCCCCGGCUAACUACGUGCCAGCAGCUGC
rnacentral:rRNA from 1 species